GAUGAACGCUGGCGGCGUGCCUAAUACAUGCAAGUCGAGCGAACGGACGAGAAGCUUGCUUCUCUGAUGUUAGCGGCGGACGGGUGAGUAACACGUGGAUAACCUACCUAUAAGACUGGGAUAACUUCGGGAAACCGUAGCUAAUACCGGAUAAUAUUUUGAACCGCAUGGUUCAAAAGUGAAAGACGGUCUUGCUGUCACUUAUAGAUGGAUCCGCGCUGCAUUAGAUAGUUGGUAAGGUGACGGCUUACCAAGGCAACGAUGCAUAGCCGACCUGAGAGGGUGAUCGGCCACACUGGAACUGAGACACGGUCCAGACUCCUACGGGAGGCAGCAGUAGGGAAUCUUCCGCAAUGGGCGAAAGCCUGACGGAGCAACGCCGCGUGAGUGAUGAAGGUCUUCGGAUCGUAAAACUCUGUUAUUAGGGAAGAACAUAUGUGUAAGUAACUGUGCACAUCUUGACGGUACCUAAUCAGAAAGCCACGGCUAACUACGUG
rnacentral:rRNA from 1 species